GUGAGUCAUCGAAUCUUUGAACGCACAUUGCGCCCCUUGGUAUUCCGGGGGGCAUGCCUGUUCGAGCGUCAUUUCAACCCUCCAGCCUCGCUGGGUCUUGGGCUCUGCCGGCAACGGCUUGCCUUAAAAUCAGUGGCGGUGCCGACGAGCUCUACGCGUAGUAAUCAUACCCUCGCGUCUGAGUCUCGGCGGUCGCUAGCCAGCAACCCCCAUUUCUAUGGUUGACCUCGGAUCAGGUAGGGAUACCCGCUGAACUUAAGCAUAUCAAUAAGCGGAGGA
rnacentral:misc_RNA from 1 species